ACAUAACAUCUCAACCUAAAGAAGUCAAGCAAGCAUGCAUAUGUUGCACUGACGGAAAA
rnacentral:sRNA from 1 species